ensembl:lncRNA
UGGUGGACAGUGUGAAUGGGUCAUCAAAAUACAAAGGCAAGACAAAAGUCAGAAUAAAUGUGAUGGUCUGGGAUGCAGUGGAUGACUUUGGCUUCUUCAAAAUCUAACCCAGAUCCAUGUGCUCUAUAGCU